AKAGCMCAGCACCGAAUCCCGUGGUCUUAAGGCCGCUGGGAAAUGUGGUGUUUAGAAGCGUCCGUCAUCCCGGAGCUACGCGUCGAGUCCAAGUCCAUCUUGAACGGGGCCACUACCCAUAGAGGGUGCCAGGCCCGUAGCGACCGUCGCAAGUUUCGGGAGGAUGUCUUCUGAGAGUCGGGUUGCUUGAGAGUGCAGCCCUAAGUGGGUGGUAAACUCCAUCUAAGGCUAAAUAUAACCACGAGACCGAUAGCGAACAAGUACCGUGAGGGAAAGUUGAAAAGAACUUUGAAGAGAGAGUUCAAUAGUACGUGAAACCGUUCAGGGGUAAACCUGAGAAACCCGAAAGAUCGAAGAGGGAGAUUCAUUCGCGUUUCGGUGUGCGGCUGCGAGCUUUGCGUGCGACGAACGGCGUUCGCGUCGAUCGCGUCCUUUGCCCGUAUUUGUCGUCGUCGAACGCGUGCACUUCUCCCUUAGUAGGUCGUCGCGAUCCGUUGGGCGUCGGUCUAAGGCCCGCGGUGGAGCCUACGAGCGGCGGUUUUGCCGUCUGCUUGUGGACCCGCGGUGUUUUCCCGGCCGGCUCGCUCGACGGUAUAGCUAAGGCGCGGGGUCGCCACACUUUUGGCGUCCGGCUCGCGGCAAGCACUCUCGUCGUGUCGACUUUCGGACCUGGUGCCGAAGUCGUCCGCGAGUAGGCUGUUCGCUGCGUAGUUUUCGGACAGACCUCGAUAAAAACGCCUAUCAGCGACGCUAUAGCUUUGGGUACUUUCAKGACCCGUCUUGAAACACGGACCAAGGAGUCUAGCAUGUGCGCGAGUCAUUGGGACAUAACUAAACCUAAAGGCGAAAUUAAUGUGAAGGUUCGCCUAGCGCGAACCUAGGGAAGAUGGGCGGUCCCUGGUGGCCGCCUCGCAUUCCCGGGGCGUCUCGUUCUCAUUGCGAGAAGAGGCGCACCAAGAGCGUACACGCUGGGACCCGAAAGAUGGUGAACUAUGCCUGGUCAGGACGAAGUCAGGGGAAACCCUGAUGGAGGUCCGUAGCGAUUCUGACGUGCAAAUCGAUCGUCGGAACUGGGUAUAGGGGCGAAAGACUAAUCGAACCAUCUAGUAGCUGGUUCCCUCCGAAGUUUCCCUCAGGAUAGCUGGCGCUCGUUGCGUACGAGUCUCAUCCGGUAAAGCGAAUGAUUAGAGGCCUUGGGGUCGAAACGACCUCAACCUAUUCUCAAACUUUAAAUGGGUGAGAUCUCCGGCUUGCUUGAACAUGAAGCCGCGAGAAUGUGUGGAUCAGAGUGCCAAGUGGGCCAUUUUUGGUAAGCAGAACUGGCGCUGUGGGAUGAACCAAACGCCGAGUUAAAGCGCCUAAAUCGACGCUUAUGGGAUACCAUGAAAGGCGUUGGUAACUUAAGACAGCAGGACGGUGGCCAUGGAAGUCGGAAUCCGCCAAGGAGUGUGUAACAACUCACCUGCCGAAGUUACUAGCCCUGAAAAUGGAUGGCGCUGAAGCGUCGUGCUUAUACUCGGCCGUCAGCGGCAUGUGCGGUCGUCACUUGUGGCGACCAUGAAGCUCUGACGAGUAGGAGGGUCGCGGCGGUGUGCGCAGAAGGACUGGCCGUGAGGCCGUCUGGAGCCGCCGUCGGUGCAGAUCUUGGUGGUAGUAGCAAAUACUCCAGCGAGGCCCUGGAGGACUGACGUGGAGAAGGGUUUCGUGUGAACAGCCGUUGCACACGAGUCAGUCGAUCCUAAGCCCUAGGCGAAAGCCGAUGUUGAUGUGGUGUCGUAUGUACUAAGCUUUAACUAGUCUGUGUGCUCACACCCGUCGGGCGAAAGGGAAUCCGGUUCCUAUUCCGGAACCCGGCAGCGGAACCGUCACCAAUUCGGGCCCUCGCAAGAGAGUUCGUCGGGGCAACCCAAAAGGACCCGGAGACGCCGUCGGGAGAUCCGGGAAGAGUUUUCUUUUCUGCAUGAGCGUUCGAGUUCCAUGGAAUCCUCUAGCAGGGAGAUAUGGUUUGGAACGCGAAGAGCACCGCAGUUGCGGCGGUGUCCGGAUCUUCCCCUCGGACCUUGAAAAUCCGGGAGAGGGCCACGUGGAGGCGUCGCGCCGGCUCGUACCCAUAUCCGCAGCAGGUCUCCAAGGU
rnacentral:rRNA from 1 species